GAAAUGCGAUAACUAAUGUGAAUUGCAGAAUUCAGUGAAUCAUCGAGUCUUUGAACGCACAUUGCGCCCGCUGGUAUUCCGGCGGGCAUGCCUGUCCGAGCGUCAUUUCGUCCCUCAAGCCCCCGCGCUUGGUGUUGGGCGUCCCCGCGGGCCCUCGCGGCCGGCGGGCGCCCCAAAUGCAUCGGCGGUCCCGCCUGGCGGCUCCCUGCGUAGUAGAACCUCUUCUCGCAUCGAGCCCCGGGCGCGCGGCCAGCCGCUAAACCCCCCCAAUCGUACCAACGGUUGACCUCGGAUCAGGUAGGACUACCCGCUGAACUUAA
rnacentral:misc_RNA from 2 species